rnacentral:rRNA from 1 species
CAGUAGCCGCGGGAAUACGAAGGGGGCUAGCGUUGUUCGGAUUUACUGGGCGUAAAGCGCACGUAGGCGGAUCGAUCAGUCAGGGGUGAAAUCCCAGAGCUCAACUCUGGAACUGCCUUUGAUACUGUCGAUCUGGAGUAUGGAAGAGGUGAGUGGAAUUCCGAGUGUAGAGGUGAAAUUCGUAGAUAUUCGGAGGAACACCAGUGGCGAAGGCGGCUCACUGGUCUGUAACUGACGCUGAGGAGCGAAAGCGUGGGGAGCGAACAGGAUUAGAGACCCCUGUAGUCCCUGUCUCUUAUAC